CAACAGACCACUUCAGCCAUGGAUUAAGAGCAUUAGCAAUCAUCUGUGGUUUUCAUGUUCAUCUUGUGGAGGUGACCCGGAUGAGCUGAUCAAAAGGUGGAAGUCACUUCUGCACUACAUUUGUGGGGUUCAUUCCAGGACAGAAGAUGGAGAAGAAAGAAGAUGUCUGCAUAGCGAGCUUACCCCUGAUGAGCAGAGAAAAAAAAAUGGCUUGAUAAAAAGUCCAGGGCAUUCAUUACAUUAGAGAACCUUGUCUUAGACAAGGGUCUUCUGAAAGACCUCAGGCAGAUGGCACUUUUCAAGCAUACUGGUAAGCUUGAAGUGUUCCAUUCACUGCUCCUGAAGUACUGCCCCAAAAGAAUACACUUCCAUUACACAUCAAUGCUUGCACGUACCCAGGUGGCAGUGCUUGACCACAAUGAGAAUGUUCACAGACAGCAAGCCAGAA